UUCGGAGGCUCUCUCUGCUCUCUCAUGUACGUUCAAACUGGAUCAUAUCCUGGAUAUGAUUCAAUCAGAGUUUCCCCGGGGCUCUGAUAACAGUCUGAGAUAGAGGGAUACACUGUUAUCACUGUUACCUCACCAGGUGUCCUGGUCCAGGUCUCUCCCAGGUUCUCUCCCUAUAACCAGGUGUCCUGGUACAGGUCUGUCCCAGGCUCUCUCCCUAUAACCAGGCGUCCUGGUCCAGGUCUGUCCCAGGCUCUCUCCCUAUAACCAGGUGUCCUGGUCCAGGUCUGUCCCAGGCUCUCUCCCUAUAACCAGGUGUCCAGGUCUGUCCCAGGCUCUCUGCCUAUAACCAGGUGUCCUGGUCCAGGUUUGUCCCAGGCUCUCUCCCUAUAACAAGGUGUCCUGGUCCAGGUUUGUCCCAGGCUCUCUCCCUAUAACCAGGUGUCCUGGUCCAGGUUUGUCCCAGGCUCUCUCCCUCUUGAACAUGGCAAUAUGUGAAACUUACUCCUCAGCCUGACCAGACCCCACUUACGCCAGUGAAUAGCUGGCUUUUUUGUUGUUGUUGCGUGGCGCCGACUGGUAAGACGUUUCAGGAGGGCGGUCGCGUGUGCUAGCAAGGCAGAGGUCCCGAGUUCGUUCCAGGUACGGGCUGAAUCAGGAGAAAGUGGUACUCGCUAAACAAACAGCGUGACGCCGUUUACAUUGUUCGCCAUUCUGUUUUUCUGCACCGUAUAGAAUCGUGAACACGUCAAUCAGGCUGCUUCUACCAGGCUAUAUGUAGCGUGUUUUGUUUACAUUUUGCUUUCACCUGCAGGUUCAUUUUUAAAUAAAAAAAAAGUUACGAUUUAAUUCUGACCUUCAAGGGGCAGGUUGAGAGUACUCGAUGAAAUGUAAUUUGAUUUAAACUUCAUGUUACCAGGUUGGAAGGCAGUCUGUUGAGGUUGAGAGAGCAUUUUAAAACGUGGAUGGGAACGACGGUUGUCAUUCAAUUUACACGGUGAGAUGAACACACGGUUUGUUCAGCAGUAAAGUGGAGCGGAACGAUGAUCCAACAGAAGAUAAUCCAGAUGAAAUGAGUAAAGGAGGAGUGGGCUUCCCUCUGGACCGGACAGCUGAGUGUCACUCAUCUCUGAUUGACAGGUGAGUGAUCAUGACGACGGUUGUCAUGACGUUGUGACCUGGAAAUGGAAUGUUGUAUUUUUCACCCUGGGUGAAAGGAAUCCUUUUAGUUCCUCUUUG
ensembl:lncRNA